CUGCGCCAGGGCCGGAGUUGGGCGCCGGCGUCCUGGCAGGCGGCCGCGUAGGCGCCCAGGACCUCGCAGAGGACCUCGCCGUCACCGGGCACCUCGCAGAGCUCGCGCAGGCAGCUGUCGAAGAAGGCGCCGGGCUCCACCACGCCGUGACAGUCCUUGAAGGGACCUUUGGGCGCCCGGAGGAGGUUGCAGAGCUCGGUGUGGACGAAGGCCCUCUUGGGCGGUUGGCGGCAUGGAGGACACGUGGGGCCGGGGCAGUUGCGGAGGCAAGUGGUGGCCGAGGGGUUCUGGGAGACGCCCAGGAGGUGGCGGAUGUGGUCGUGGUGGCCGUCGAAGUUGCCGCAGAGGCCGCAGGUGCGGUUGUGGUAGGUCCGGGCCACGGAGAUGGCCAGGCGGGUGCCGGGGCCGGUGGCCACGCGGAGACCGAAGUCGGCCAGGAGCACGGUCUCGACGCCGUGUUGGACCAGGCACACGGCCUGGCCCAGCAGGCAGAAGGGCAGCGUCACCUCCGUGCCGUCCACCUGCGGGAGAGAGCGGCUCAGGUGGUGGCACCUGCGGUGAGGUGACCACCCACUGGGUGCCUGAUCGUCUGCCCGCCUGGCCCUCCAUCCAUCCAACCUUCUCCAUCCGUCCAACCUUCUCCAUCCAUCCACCAUCCCUUCUUCUCCAUCCAUCCCCACUUGUCACCUGUCCGUACACCCACUUAUCCAUCUGUCCAACCAUCCCUUCUUCUCCAAGUGUUUGCCCACCUGCCUGUUCAUCCAUCCACCCGCUCACCCAUCCAACCGUCCUUUCUCCUCCGUCCAUUCAUCAAGCUGUCCAGCCAUCCACCAUCUAUGAUCUUCUCCGUCCAUCUGUCCUUCCAACCUUGCUCUUCUGUAGCCUUCCAGCUAUGCUCUUCUCCGUCCAUCCAUCCAUGCUCUUCUCCAUCCACCCAUCUGUGCUCUUUUCCAUCCCUCUACCCUUGCUCUUCUUGAUCCCUCCAGCUAUACUCUUCUCCGUCCAUCCAUCCAUUCAUGCUCUUCUUGAUCCCUCCAUGUUCUUCUCCAUCCAUCCGUCCCUCCACCUUGCUCUUCUUGAUCCCUCCAGCUAUACUCUUCUCCGUCCAUCCAUCCAUUCAUGCUCUUCUUGAUCCCUCCAUGUUCUUCUCCAUCCAUCCGUCCCUCCACCUUGCUCUUCUUGAUCCCUCCGUCUAUACUCUUCUCCGUCCAUCCAUCCAUUCAUGCUCUUCUUGAUCCCUCCAUGUUCUUCUCCAUCCAUCCGUCCCUCCACCCUUGYUCUUCUUGAUCCCGCCAUCCAUGUUCUUCUGCACCCAUCCCUCCACCCAUGCCCUUCUCCAUCCACCCAUGCUCUUCCCCAUCCCUCCAMCACCCCAUGCUCUCCACCGUCCACCCACACCUCCACCAGCCCCCCGAAUCCCCCCAUCCCGCCACCCGCCGCACCUCCAUGACGCCGGGGCGCCCGCUCUCCAGGACGAAGCGGUGCUUGUACACGGCGACGGUGACCGUCCGGGUGCUGGCCCAGACGCCGGCACUGUCCCGAGGACGGUCGUCCACGCUGACGGCGAAGGCGGGCAGGGCGCCGGAGGGGCCGCAGCUCCGUGCCGCCACGUAGGAGCAGUUCUGCCGCACGGUGAAGACGAUGCCGUCGAAGCUGCUGUAGUGCCAGGCCCCCAUGGACUGACACGUCCCCAGGGUGCCCGGCGCCGGUCCCGGCACCCGUUCCGGUACCGGAGUGCACCCCGGGGUGCCACCAGGCCGGGCGGGUGGCACGCAGCCCUCGCGGCAGCCCGGGGUGCAGCCCGGCGCGCAGACGGCGUAGUGGGUGUCCGGGGGACAGCGGGGUGCUGCGGGGAGAGGGCGGUGGCGGUGACGUUAUCCCGGAUGCCUGGGUCCCUCCCGGACACCUGGGUCCCUGGGAUGCUCUCGGUGGGGGGGCGAUACUUACGGCAGAAACCCUUGGAGCGCCACUCCAAGACCUUCCUCCCGGCCUCCUGGCAGGCAGCGACGUAGGCAGCGAGGACCCGGCAGACGGCGCCCGACUCGCCCUUGUGCCGGCAACGGUCGGUGACGCAAUCCCGGAAGUAGGUUUCAGGGUGAACGGCUCCGUGGCACAGCCGGAAGGGCCCGUCC
rnacentral:lncRNA from 1 species